UAUGUGCCCUGACCUGGAAUUGAACCCACAUUCUUUUGGUGCACAGGACAACACUCCAACCAACGGAUCCACACCAGUCAGGGCAGAAAAAAUAUUUUCUUAUUGCUGAAAUAUUACCUAUGUGAUGUGUGAAUCAUUUUUUGACAAACAUUGGAUGUAGCCACAUAGGAAAGCCUUUCAGGGUCUAGGAAGUGGCCUAAGAACCUUUUGCAUUGAAGCAGAUGGUUUCUUAAUUUUUUUUUUCUUUUACAGUGAACCUCACUGCAGAAAUUUUUGUACUUUACCAGAUAUCAGUAAACAGUCACUGCUUCUAUGAGUCCUUAUCAUAGGACUUAAUUAAUUGGACAAAUGUAUACAAGGGUCUCCUGUGUACCACUCACUAUUUUAGGCAUUGAGAUACAGUUAUGAACAACAAGUCCUUGCUUAGUCCAUGGAGCUUACGUUCUAGUGAGGGGUAGCACACAAACAAGAAAAUAAAUAGCUUGUUAGAUGUUGAUAAAUAUUAUAGAAAAAUAUUAAGUUGAGACAGGCCCUGUUUGGAAGGCUCACGGAUAAUGAAGUGGUACUUGAGGGAUUGAAUGAAGCGACGGAGCCAGCUUUGUGGCGAACAGAGGAGAAAACGUCACAGACUGUCUAGGUGGGUCUGUCUGGGCUUGGCUGGAGCAGUUAGGUAGUGGCAGAUGGAAGGUGUUGAUACCAGAGGGUUAGCAGGAGAGGCCCAAUUAAGGAGGGACUUUGGCACUUAUUCUGAGUGUGCUGGGGAACCAUUGGAAGGAUUUGCGUAGAGGCGUGGUAAGAUCACUCUAAUGAGAACAGUCAGUGGAGGGGAGAGGGGAGAGGCAGGGAGGCUGAUCAGGACGGCUAAUGUAGUCAGCUCUGUGUGACAGCAGGUGGUGGGAGGGGAAAACAGUCACAUGUUGGAUAUAUCAUAAAAGUAGAGCAGACAAGAUAUGCUAGCUAUAGCUAUGAAAGAUAGAAGACUCGGGGAUGACUUCAUGGUUUCUGGAAGGAUGAGGAUGAUAUGUUUUGGAGAAGAGGAUUUUGGGAAGAUCAGGCUCCAUUAAACAGGGAUGGUGGGUUGGUGCUGGUGGUGAGAGUGAGAAGUUCAGUUUCAGAACAAGGAGAGUUUGGGAUGCCUGUUUGUCAUCAAGUAAGGAGUUUGGAGCUCACGGGGCUAGAGAUUUAAGGCUACGGUGCUUUUUUUAAAAAAAUAUAUAUUUUAUUGAUUUCUUACAGAGAGGAAGAGAGAGAGAUAGAGAGUUAGAAACAUUGAUGAGAGAGAAACAUCGAUCAGCUGCCUCCUGCAUACUCCCCACUGGGGAUGUGCCCGCAACCAAGGCACAUGCCCCUUGACCGGAAUCGAACCUGAGACCCUCCAGUCCGCAGGCCAACGCUCUAUCCACUGAGCCAAACCGGCUUUGGCAUACGGUGCUUUUUCAUUCACACCUGACAUCUCUUUAUCAUGAGAAGUAUUUCUUUACUUUAGUGACAUGAGUGCCCAGGACAGAGCUUCACAUGCAGGAGAUGUUUAAUCAGUAUUUGUGGAAUAAACCUGCAGUGGAAAUCUCAAUAUUGUUUUCUGUCAUGACGUAUUUUACUCUAAUCGUGUUUGGUGUUUGAUGUGUGUAUUAUUUUCUUUCAAAUAAACUUUAAUAAAAUGUGACUUUAUGAGUAGUAAUGAGAAGGUUUGAUCACCCUUUGUAAGCAGUAAUUUCGGGAAAUAUGUAGACAUUAGAAAACAGAGCAUGCUGCUGAACUGGAGCAAUUGACACUGCCCCUCAUAACCUCUGUUCCUGACCAUCAUCAGCCCUGCUGUCCUCAGUGGUCAUUAAUAGCCAUUACUUUCUAAUGCUCACACUGUAUGGGAAGUUACAUUUAUGUGCAUCGUAGGUUAUUUUUAAUCAGAAAAAGGGUGUUGGUAGUAACUGGAUUUGGCUUUUGAAACUUACUUUGGCUUAACUUUACUGGGUUUAAGAAACUCACUGUAUUCAUCUAUUCAGGCUGCCAUAACAAGGUAACUUAGACUGAAUGGCUUAAACAAUGGGAGUUUAUUUUCUCACAGUUCUGGAGGCUAGAAGUUUAAGAUCAAGGUUCUGACUGACUCAGUUUCUGGCGAGGGCUCACUUCCUGGCUUGCCGAAGGCCACCUUCCUGUUGUUCUCACAAGGGCUUUCCUCUGUAAAAAUACAGAGAGAACGGGAGAGAGCUCUGGUGUCUCUCCCUCAUUUAUAAGGAUACCUAUUCCAUUGGACCAGGGUCCUACCCUCAUGACCUCAUCUAACCUUGAUUGGCUCCUAAUGGCUCCAUCUUCACAUAUGACAGUGGGAGUUAGGGCUUCCCCAUAUGAAAGGUUUUGUUUGUAGCAUUUAUCAUUAUAGCAUCUUUAAUUACUGGGAUUAUUUUGCAUUUCUACUGAGUGUGACUUUAAGAAAGAACACAUCUCUAGGUAUUUAUAGCCAAGGAAUCAUUCUAGGUAAUGAAAGUGUGUUUGUGAAAAAUAAAUGAAAGAAUAAUACAAAGAUUUAAGUUUACUGAGAAGGGUAAUUUAAAUUUCUGAAAUGCCUACAUUUCAUGUAGAAUAUUUAAAUACAUGUAACUUAUUUACCUACAAAGCACAAAGAAAAGCAACAAUACAUGUAAAAAAUGUUUCUUCAUCCUGGUGGAAUGAUUUAGUGACUUAACAAAUUGUUCAUUUGUAAUUAGAAUUCAAAUAAUGUGCUAGGGUUCUUAAAUUCUUUUCUUAAGUAGGGUAAAUGUGCCCACAUAUAGAUUUAAUUGCAUUAUUAAUUUGUUUAACAUUUUCAUGGUGUAGUCGACUUUUGCACAGACUGAAUUACUAAUUAGUGGAACCUUAAUGAAUAUCGUUUAAUUUUACCACAUAAUGUGGCCUGUGACAUCAUUCGUGAGCUUUCCCCAGGGAGGGAUUGGACUAAGAGGCAUCUCCAUGGAGAUGUUACAUCUGUGUCUGCUUCAUCUGACCCUGACACUCCUGAAGGGACCUGUGAUCGGGAAUAGAUGGAGACAGACACACACACACACAUACACACACACACAUGCACACACACACAUCUAAAAGCAUUGAUAUAGAAUUCCCUUCUUUUUGAUAAGAAGUGGAAAAGGAUAGCAUUCAGAUUUUUGUGUCUCCAUGUUACCCAGCAAAAAUAACCAAGACUGUGAUACAGAUAGUUUGGUUAUAGUUUUCACUGCCACACUGCAUAAAAUUUUAUCUCCUUUCAGCUUUUGAAAUUUAGGCAGGUAUGGGUAAAAGUAAGUUCAAACUUUAGCACACAGGAUAAGCCUUGUCAAAAUUUCACUUUGUUCAAAUAAACAGACUUCAGUAUACCACUAACUGCGCUCCUUCCUGUGUGGCGAGUUAGUUAACUUGACAUUUGGGACAGCAGUUGCCAACCUUUCAGACCUCAUGGACCACCGGGGCUUGCGGGCCACUGGUUGGCAACUGUUGAUUUGGGAAUUAUUGUAGAAAGAUUCAUAUGCAGGAACGGUGUUGGGGGAAUUCUCCCCCUCCCCAGCCCUAUUGUUUUUUGAAAUGAUGAAAACAAAAAAAUUUUGAAUUUAUAUUUUCAGUUUGGCCAAUUGAAAGGAUCAAGAAAACGCAGUGUAAUAAUUGUACAGCAUAUCUUUGUCUACAUACUGUUUCACUGUUUGGCGUGUAAAACUGACCUCUGAGACCCUUUGAGCCAAAAAUAACAGGACCGGGGCUUCAGCCCUGUGGUCCUAGAUUAGAGUUAGUCCAUGCCCACUGAAAGGACACCCAACAUAGCUGCCACCUGAAGGGGAUUUCCAGACAGGAAUGAAUUGAAAUAUGGGAGAAGAAGUCACUUUUCCACGAAAUAGGGUCUCAAGCAAUUCGGUGCAUCUGGCUGAGUAACAUUCUGAGUGAAUGUGGGACCUGCAUCAUGGGCCGUAACUGUGAAAAUUCACACUCCUGCACCCCAGAGACGCGCUGUCACACGCCAGCUACUCUGAGCACUCCACUGGGCUGCGAGGUGCAUUGGGGAACACAGGUGAGUAAGACACGUGCAGGGAAUUCCCAGUGCAGUGAGGGCGGUGCCCAUCUGAGGAGCAUUCAUCCAGCGUCGCGAAGUGCCUGAUGAGGUGGUGUGGGAAAGAGUGAGAGCAGCUGCAAUGUGCAGGUGUCAAAUGAUAGACUCCAUAGCUGUUUCUAGUGAAAGGAUCAUGGUUCCCAAGCAGCCUCUCCUCUACACUUUCUUCCAUCUCAUUUCAUGUUAUAAUUAUUCUUAGGGCUUUGAGCAGAGCAUCCUACACAGUUUAAAGCAGGCAUUUAGAGCAGAGAAUAAAAGAAAGGAGAUUCCAAGACAUUUUGAGCAGUGUUUCCUGUGCUGUCAUAUAUACCCAAAGUAUACAGAACACUAGUCUAUUUCUUAAAGGCUAUUUUGGUAAUUUUGGAUAUUAAGCUCAAAAGCAAUCUUUUGUUAACGAGGAUUUGUUAAAAGAUUUUUUUUUGUGUGUUCAAUAUUAGCAAGUGGACAGUGGACAAAGCAGGCAGUUUUUGCUUUUUGUUUUUGGUAAGGGACGGACAACUUUGCAUCCUACUGAUUAAAGAGAAAAUACCUAAGUAAAUGUCUGUCCUAAAAAUAGAUUCCUUCAGGUUUUUUGGUUUUGUCACACCAGGGGUGGAGUCAUUAAACAGGAAGAAGGAAAUCCAGUAAACAGGAAUUGCGUGCUGAGAUAUUUUUUUGGAAGAGAAAUGGAGGCCCAUGCCCUGAGAAUGUCAGCGGAAUGUUUCACCAUUAUGCGUACCUUUUUAAGAAUGUUGGACUGAAGAGCAUGCCAGUGGUCUUUUCUUUCAUUACCACUGUGGAUGAUGAAUGACCUUCACCCGGACUGCAUGUUGUGCUUAAAGAUUUGAAAAGUGAAUCUAAUUGUAUUUUCACAGAUUAAUACAUUGUGGUGGUUAGCCUCAAUGUUUUCAAUGCUUUAUACUCUAAGGAUUUUUUUUUUCAUGUUAGGUAAAGAUCAUUUUAGUAUAACUUAGACUAUUUUGGUAUAGCCAUGUGUUUUUACUGUGUGUGUGUGUGUUUUCAAGAAAUUGGGAAGAUAUUUAUUUCUUUACAAUAUUAAGUUAGUUUCAGGUGUACAAUAUAGUGACUAGAUAUGUAUCCAGGUAUUAUAUUGAAAAGCACAACCCCUUUCUGGAAAUCCAGCAGGUAAACAGCAAAUAAACCUCAACGUACCUUCCUCUUUUAGAGCAGUUGCUUUUGGAAGCUAUAUAUUAAUUCCAUAACAUUAUUAUUUCUUAAAAUAUUUUGUGGGGGUGUUUCCUUUGUAAUGCCAAGUGUUCAGUUGUGCAGUGACAGCUUUAAGUGUUAUAAAUGUCAGAGGAUUCAGGCUUUUCCCAUUAUGGGGGGAUGGAUGUGAGGAAAGGGUUUCAGUGAUAAUUCUCUAGUCUACCAAGGAGUAGAAAACAAAGUCAAGGAGACUAGCAUGUUAUUUAGCAGGUGGGUGCUGGGAGGAGAUAAUUUAACACUGAUAAUGCCAA